CCUACGGGUGGCAGCAGUGAGGAAUAUUGGUCAAUGGACGAGAGUCUGAACCAGCCAAGUAGCGUGAAGGAUGACUGCCCUAUGGGUUGUAAACUUCUUUUAUAUGGGAAUAAAACGUUCCACGUGUGGGAUUUUGUAUGUACCAUAUGAAUAAGGAUCGGCUAACUCCGUGCCAGCAGCCGCGGUAAUACGGAGGAUCCGAGCGUUAUUCGGAUUUAUUGGGUUUAAAGGGAGCGUAGGUGGAUGGUUAAGUCAGUUGUGAAAGUUUGCGGCUCAACCGUAAAAUUGCAGUUGAAACUGGCAGUCUUGAGUACAGUAGAGGUGGGCGGAAUUCGUGGUGUAGCGGUGAAAUGCUUAGAUAUCACGAAGAACUCCGAUUGCGAAGGCAGUUCACUGGACUGCAACUGACACUGAGGCUCGAAAGUGUGGGUAUCAAACAGGAUUAGAUACCCCAGUAGUC
rnacentral:rRNA from 1 species